rnacentral:rRNA from 1 species
CCUACGGGAGGCAGCAGUGAGGAAUAUUGGUCAAUGGACGCGAGCCUGAACCAGCCAAGUCGCGUGAGGGAUGAAUGUUCUAUGGAUCGUAAACCUCUUUUAUAAGGGAAUAAAGUGUGGGACGUGUCCGAUUUUGUAUGUACCUUAUGAAUAAGGAUCGGCUAACUCCGUGCCAGCAGCCGCGGUAAUACGGAGGAUCCGAGCGUUAUCCGGAUUUAUUGGGUUUAAAGGGUGCGUAGGCGGAUUUUUAAGUCAGUGGUGAAAGUUUGCGGCUCAACCAUAAAAUUGCAGUUGAAACUGGCGGGCUUGAGUAUGUUAGAGGCAGGCGGAAUGCGUGGUGUAGCGGUGAAAUGCUUAGAUAUCACGAAGAACCCCGAUUGCGAAGGCAG